GCGCGCUCGGCUCUUUCCGCCGGCCCGCCGCGCGGGAGGCCGACCUCCUGGCCUCUGCUCCAGCGCGUGUUUGCUUCCUGAAUCUAAUCUUCAUAAGGGCAAGAAUUUUCACCUGUUUUGUUUAUCACUGUAUUUUCAAUGCCUCGGAUCGUGCUGCUGAGAGAUGAGGAAAAGGCUUCCAGGCCACUGGUUUGCACUUCUGUUUGCUCCUGGCCCCUCUGGACUGGCCACCCUUUGCAUCACACCACGCUCCACGCUGCUGCUGGGGGACGCAUCCUCAGAGACACGAUCGGAUUCAGGCAGGAGUAGUUACUGAACACGUGCCAGGUCCCCCGUCCAGGUGCUCUGGGCCUGCCGUGGCCCGCAGUGCAGACUAGGUCUGCUCUCCUGGAGCUGACAUUUCAUGGGGAGAUGCAGGCACUGAUGGGAAAGAAACCAAUGGAUGCCUGAGU